GUUUUAUCUAGUCCUUCUAAUUAGCACCAGGGAUGUUCAUCAUGUUCUGUGUGGAGACCAACGUGGUUUUACAAAAUGCAGAGACCAAUCAACCGUUUCCUGCACAGAGACAACAUCAUCACAAGAGUCUGUUCAAACCAUCGGCCCUUGACUUCGUCUGGCACCCCUGUGGUGAAACACUCUGCCCCCAAUCUGUGUGAGUAGAGCAGCCAGUGUGUGGGCUCACUCCAGGCUGCAGGGAAAUGGAUGACGACGACGACGACGAUGAUGAUGAUGAUGAUGAUGAUGAUGAUGAUGAUGAACUUGAGUACAAUCUCCCGACUACUUCAAAGACUUUUUUUAUGCCAUUGGACGAUUGCCCCUAUGUCGUUCAACACAAGGGCUAAAAUUGCAUUUCAUUUCUACUUUGAACUCUUCAAAGCCACUACAGUUAUACUUGUGUAGUAUUCAUGUACACGGCACGCUGCAUAUACUGUAUUUAACCCUUUGUUACUUAACAUGACAUCCUGGUCUGAAGAAUGUACUGCGAGAGGCUGGUGUAACUGAUUGACACAUUAGCAGUGGUCAUCAUUAUUUUAGGUGAUGGUAAUUAUGUGAGAGGAGCCCUUGGUCUUGCAUAUAAAGGUUGGGCAGAGAAGGUAUCAUAAAUACACACUGUCAGGCUGUAUGAUGGGAAAUGUAGGACCCAGUGCUCUUGGAGCUCAAUUCACAAUAUUAUUACAAUUUCUGCAGCAUCAAUUUUUACCAUCUCCCAACUUUAUGGAGGUGUGAUACUAAACCCUUGGAGUAAUCUCCUUAAGUUUAUGUGAAGUCCAACUUCUUUACUCCUUUGUCUCUUGUUUUAAUAAAGUCAGUAAUUGGUUUAUCAAUUAAAGAUAAGUUUGAAGAGUGGGGGGUCUUCAUAGCCCACAGCUCGUCAUGUAACAGCUUACUGUGACUGUCUCACACUUCUUCAUUCGUUCAUAAUUCCUGUUUUGCAUUCACUGGGAUGGUGUCUGUUGUUGUUUCCAGUUUCUUUAGAAAUAGCCCAUUCAUUAGUCAUGUGAAUAAAAACAUUGCUAUUGUCUUUUGAAGACACGAUUCAAUAAUAGGUUAAAGUUUACAUGAAAAAUAUAAAUGACAGCAAAUACAAAACAUACAUUACAACCUUUUCAGAAUAGUAAAUACUAAUGCUAAAUCCAAAAUACAAUACAUCAUCUCCAACCCAUCAAUUGAUAAAAGGUUGAAUCUCAAAUUUCAAUAUAUUAGAUUUUAUCUUCAACCUCAUUUCUCAAACAAAUAAUUUAAAAUGAGUUAAUAGUUGAAAAGCCAAGUUGACAUGCUGAUGGAUCAUUAAAAACUUGGGGGAUUGUGGGAUUCUUGUGGACUUAGUAAAUUGACAGGAAAGUGAAUAUCAUCUCCUCUGACACCUGACCUCCUUCAGGUUUGAUUGAAUUUGUGUAAACAACAUACUUGCAUUUUAAUCACGUCUGACCAUUAAAUCUUCAGUGUGACACCAUUAUUUCUCCUCCCGUGCCCUCUUUCUCUGCACAGCAGCACUGUAGAUGGCCAGAAUGAAGAGAAAGAAGGAGCAAAACAAAAGUGAGGGGGAGGGAUAUAACAAAGAGGUGCUGCUGAUUUAAAAUACAGUAGAAGAAAGAUUUGGCAGAGGGGAAUCAUCUUUUUCUUUUUCUUUUUUCUUCUUUUUUUUUCUGCCUCUCUUCUCCAUUACAGGCGAAAAGAAAUAUUUCAGAUGGGGUUUGGGAUUACUGCCCACUUCAAAGACUUUUUCACACGAGCUUCUGACUUUCUUUCCCCUCUUAUAAAACAGCCUUCAUUUCCAAAGGCCAGUGAUAUUUGUGUGGCCCAAACCUUCAUGUCUGUGAGCCAAGAUUUAAAGAGACAAGUAUAGAUUUUUACUGCAGUAUAACAGCACCCACAGUCAGCAUGACUCCAAAACUUUUGGACAUGAGUGCACCAAAACCAGAACUUUUUUUUUUUUUUUCCUUGUUGAAUUUGAAUAGCAUAGAAAAACAAACCUGACACGAUGAUGAUGCUUCAUUCUGCUACAUGUUAUGUUUUCAGGUUGCAUUAAUAUUGAAAUAUUGAUGCUACACCCUUCCCACGUUUAAGUCUGUACCCUAAAUAAUGCCAAUAACAAUGAGGAUAAUGGUACAACUACUUACUACUACUUAAAAAAGAAGGGAAAUCUGAUACGAGAGGGGGUUUUAAGAAGAGACUGACUUGAUGCCUGAGGUCUUCUGGCAACACAUUUUAAAAUUCAGGAGCUCUGACUGAAAAAGUCCAGUCAAAGC